rnacentral:RNase_P_RNA from 1 species
GAUAGUCGCGUGAGGUGACUCAUGAGGAAAGUCCGGGCACCACAAGGUAGUAAUGGUAGAUAACGUCUACUGGGAGCGAUCCUAAGGAAAGUGCAACAGAAAAUAACCGCUAAGAAAUUAGCAAGGGUGAAAAAGUGAGGUAAGAGCUCACUAAAAUAUAUGGUGACAUACGUUUUGUGUAAACCCCAUUUGGUGCAACGCCAGUCUAAAAGGUUAAGGUUACCUUGCCAUCUUUUGAAAUGGCGGCUUGAAGUAUAUAGUGAUGUAUACUCUAGAUUAAUGACUAUCACAAACAGAACCCGGCUUACGAA